rnacentral:rRNA from 1 species
GUUGUAUAGUCAAGUAAUUAAGUGCAUGUGGUGGAUGCCUUGGCAGUCAGAGGCGAUGAAAGACGUGAUAGCCUGCGAAAAGCUCCGGGGAGGCGGCAAAUAUCCUUUGAUCCGGAGAUGUCUGAAUGGGGGAACCCACCUACUUUAAGGUAGGUAUUGCAACAUGAAUACAUAGUGUUGCAAGGCGAACGAGGGGAAGUGAAACAUCUCAGUACCCUUAGGAAAAGAAAUCAAUUGAGAUUCCCUCAGUAGCGGCGAGCGAACGGGGAUCAGCCCAUUAAGUUAUGUGUGUUUUAGUGGAACGCUCUGGGAAGUGCGAACGUAGAGGGUGAUAUUCCCGUACACGAAAGGGCACACAUAAUGAUGACGAGUAGGGCGAGGCACGUGAAACCUUGUCUGAAUAUGGGGGGACCAUCCUCCAAGGCUAAAUACUCCUGACUGACCGAUAGUGAACCAGUACCGUGAGGGAAAGGCGAAAAGAACCCCUGUGAGGGGAGUGAAAUAGAUCCUGAAACCGCAUGCAUACAAGCAGUGGGAGCACCUUCGUGGUGUGACUGCGUACCUUUUGUAUAAUGGGUCAGCGACUUAUAUUCAGUAGCAGGUUAACCGUAUAGGGGAGCCGUAGAGAAAUCGAGUCUUAAUAGGGCGUUUAGUUGCUGGGUAUAGACCCGAAACCAGGCGAUCUAUCCAUGAGCAGGUUGAAGGUUGGGUAACACUAACUGGAGGACCGAACCCACUGUCGUUGAAAAGCCAGGGGAUGACUUGUGGAUAGGGGUGAAAGGCUAAUCAAGCCUGGUGAUAGCUGGUUCUCCCCGAAAGCUAUUUAGGUAGCGCCUCGGACGAAUACCAUAGGGGGUAGAGCACUGUUUCGGCUAGGGGGUCAUCCCGACUUACCAAACCGAUGCAAACUCCGAAUACCUAUGAGUACUAUCCGGGAGACAGACUGCGGGUGCUAACGUCCGUAGUCAAGAGGAAAACAAUCCAGACCGCCAGCUAAGGCCCCAAAAUCAUAGUUAAGUGGGAAACGAUGUGGGAAGGCAUAGACAGCUAGGAGGUUGGCUUAGAAGCAGCCACCCUUUAAAGAAAGCGUAAUAGCUCACUAGUCGAGUCGGCCUGCGCGGAAGAUGUAACGGGGCUAAAACUAUGUGCCGAAGCUGCGGAUUUACAUUAGUAAGUGGUAGGGGAGCGUUCUGUAAGCCGAUGAAGGUGUAUUGAGAAGCAUGCUGGAGGUAUCAGAAGUGCGAAUGCUGACGUGAGUAACGACAAAACGGGUGAAAAACCCGUUCGCCGAAAGACCAAGGGUUCCAGUCCAACGUUAAUCGGGGCUGGGUGAGUCGACCCCUAAGGCGAGGCCGAAAGGCGUAGUCGAUGGGAAAAUGGUUAAUAUUCCAUUACUUCUGUGUAAUGCGAUGAGAGGACGGAGAAGGCUAAAUCAGCCUGGCGUUGGUUGUCCAGGUGAAAGGAUGUAGGCAUGUAUCUUAGGCAAAUCCGGGGUACUCUAUGCUGAGAUCUGAUAGCAAGCUGUACUUGUACAGCGAAGUGGUUGAUGCCAUGCUUCCAGGAAAAGUCUCUAAGCUUCAGUUACACAGGAAUCGUACCCGAAACCGACACAGGUGGUCAGGUCGAGUAGACCAAGGCGCUUGAGAGAACUCUGCUGAAGGAACUAGGCAAAAUGGUACCGUAACUUCGGGAGAAGGUACGCUGUUGUUGGUGAUGGAACUCGCUUCCUGAGCUGACGACAGCCGCAGAAACCAGGCCGCUGCAACUGUUUAUUAAAAACAUAGCACUCUGCAAACACGAAAGUGGACGUAUAGGGUGUGAUGCCUGCCCGGUGCUGGAAGGUUAAUUGAUGGGGUUAGCGUAAGCGAAGCUCUUGAUCGAAGCCCCAGUAAACGGCGGCCGUAACUAUAACGGUCCUAAGGUAGCGAAAUUCCUUGUCGGGUAAGUUCCGACCUGCACGAAUGGCAUAAUGAUGGCGGCGCUGUCUCCAGCAGAGGCUCAGUGAAAUCGAAAUCGCUGUGAAGAUGCAGUGUACCCGCGGCUAGACGGAAAGACCCCGUGAACCUUUACUGCAGCUUGACACUGAACUUUGACCUUACUUGUGUAGGAUAGGUGGGAGGCUUUGAAGCUGGAACGCUAGUUCCAGUGGAGCCGUCCUUGAAAUACCACCCUGGUAAUGUUGAGGUUCUAACUCUGUCCCGUGAUCCGGGACGAGGACCGUGUCUGGUGGGUAGUUUGACUGGGGCGGUCUCCUCCUAAAGAGUAACGGAGGAGUACGAAGGUGCGCUCAGCGUGGUCGGAAAUCACGCGUAGAGUAUAAAGGCAAAAGCGCGCUUAACUGCGAGACCCACAAGUCGAGCAGGUACGAAAGUAGGUCUUAGUGAUCCGGUGGUUCUGUAUGGAAGGGCCAUCGCUCAACGGAUAAAAGGUACUCUGGGGAUAACAGGCUGAUACCGCCCAAGAGUUCAUAUCGACGGCGGUGUUUGGCACCUCGAUGUCGGCUCAUCUCAUCCUGGGGCUGAAGCAGGUCCCAAGGGUAUGGCUGUUCGCCAUUUAAAGAGGUACGCGAGCUGGGUUUAGAACGUCGUGAGACAGUUCGGUCCCUAUCUACCGUGGGCGCUGGAAAUUUGAGAGGAUCUGCUCCUAGUACGAGAGGACCAGAGUGGACGAACCUCUGGUGUACCGGUUGUGACGCCAGUCGCAUCGCCGGGUAGCUAUGUUCGGAAGGGAUAACCGCUGAAAGCAUCUAAGCGGGAAGCCUACCUCAAGAUAAGAUUUCCCUAGGACUUUAUGUCCUCUAAAGAGCCGUUCGAGACUAGGACGUUGAUAGGUUGGAUGUGGAAGCAUAGUGAUAUGUGAAGCUGACCAAUACUAAUUGCUCGUGAGGCUUGACUAUACAACACCCAAGCAGUUG